rnacentral:rRNA from 1 species
GCACAAGCGGUGGAGCAUGUGGUUUAAUUCGAUGAUACGCGAGGAACCUUACCAGGGCUUGACAUGCGCCGGGAGGGGGCUGCGAGGCCUCCGCCCUUCGGGGCCGGCGCACAGGUGCUGCAUGGCUGUCGUCAGCUCGUGCUGUGAAGUGUUGGGUUAAGUCUCGCAACGAGCGCAACCCCUGCCGCCAGUUGCCACCAGGUGAAGCUGGGCACUCUGGCGGGACCGCCGGCGACAAGCCGGAGGAAGGCGGGGACGACGUCAAGUCAUCACGGCCUUUAUGCCCUGGGCCACACACGUGCUACAAUGGCCGGUACAGAGCGCAGCGGAGCCAAAAGGCCGAGCGAACCGCAGAAAGCCGGUCACAGUACGGACUGGGGUCUGCAACCCGACCCCACGAAGUUGGAAUCGCUAGUGAUUGCGCAUCAGCAUGGCGCGGUGAAUACGUUCCCGGGC